ACACAUUUUUCAAUAAAAUAAUAUUACACACAAAUCAAAAUAACCACACAUUUCACAUCAAUACACUAUUCAAGAAUGCAUUAUUACCAAAAUAAUGUGGCUCAAACACCCCCUUAAUUAGAAUGCUAUUGUGAAAUCCUAUUCAAAUUUAAUUCUCAAAUUCUAGUUAAAAUUCUAUUUGGAAGCCCUAUUGGAAGUUGAAAUUUGUUUUGGACUUAAAGAGAUUAAAAUAAGAAAAAUUUUGACAUUUUAUUUUAUGUACAACUCUAAUUAUAGGGAUUGGAUUGUUCUCUAUAAAUACUACUAUUUUUUCUAGAUUUAUGAAGCAAAAGAAGACAAAAAGGCAUUAUUGCUCAGUUCUUUAUACUCUCUUUCUCUGGUUGUUAUUAAUAAAAUAGGGCUAAUUUCACAAACGAUCACUGAAGUUUCCAAAAAAUUACAAAACGGUCACUGAAAUUUAAAACUUUCAAAAACGAUCACUUAAGUUCUAGGCAGUUUCACUAAUGGUCACUUAAAUUUAAAAACUUGCACAAAUGGUCACGAUCAGGACCUUUCUGAUUCUAAUUCAAACUUAAGGAUCGAAAACAUGUGACCAUACAAUAUUGAGGACCUCAGGCACAAAAUUUCAGCCCAACCAUGGAAGCCAACUUCCAACCACCACAGCUACCGGAUUUUUGCGCUACCACCAUCUCCUCAUCGACCCCUAACAUCCCUACACAAACAACAGCCCCAAAUCACCACAAAAUCGAGCUAAUUCUCUUGCAUAAACUGCUUGAAAUUUCUAGGAAGAAGGUGAAUUUUGAGGAUAUCGAGCCACCACUUUUGGCCACCACAACUCCAACCUCCGACCACCUUGGUCGUCAACCAACAUACCACCUUGAAGCCCUCACUUCACUCGUUCCAACCCACCCAACCAAUGGCCAAAACUCCAUCAGAUUUGCCUGAAAGCUCCGGUCAAAGAAGCUGCCCGCGCAACCAAAAACAACCAGCGCACCACUUCUGGCCACCACAACUCCAACCUCCGACCACCUUGGCUGUAGACUAACAUACUACCUUGAAGCCCUCACUUCACUCGUUCCAACCCACCCAACCAAUGGCCGAAACUCCAUUAGAUCUGCUUGAAAUUUCCAAUCAAAGAAGCUGCCCAUGCAACCAAAAAUGAACAGCGAACUCGGACCAUUCAACUCCAAUUUUCGACGCCGAAAACACUACUCACGGUGGCGGACCACCACCCCUAGAACCGUCUCUUCAUGGCUCAUCCAAUGGACGUAUGGGUCACUGCCAAUUUCGAACCAACAAGGCUGAAUUUAACCAAGCAGCCCAUGCAGAGGCGCAUCGAACCGAAUUAGAUCUGCCUCCUUCAAUUCCUCAUCCCCACAUCAUUGAAUCACAAAAUUGGUCCUAAUAGAGUCUCCAGCAGCAUCAUACAACUAUGGGUAACAGUUCAAUUGCACCUAAUAAUCUAGAAACGACCCCAAUAAUCAAAUUGAGCAAAUUUUUGAGUUUUUUUUAACGUUUUCUAAAUUUUGCGCCUGAGGUCCUCAAUAAUGUAUGGUCACGUGUUUCGAUCCUUAAGUUUGAAUUAGAAUCAGAAAGGUCCUGAUAGUGACCAUUUGUGCAAAUUUUUAAACUUAAGUGACCAUUAGUGAAACCGCCUGGAACUUAAGUGAUCGUUUUUGAAAGUUUU
rnacentral:lncRNA from 1 species